UUGAAUAAAGGUGAAAUAAAACAUUUAAUAAAAAUAAAAAAUACUGUAUGUGGGAAUGUCUUAUGUCCAUCCUACAUGUAGUGUUGGCACAUGGAAUAUUCCUCAACUGCAUAUAUCAUAAAUUGCUAUUGCAAAUAGAAGUAUUAUGUUCAACAACUGACAUUUUCAGAUAUUAUUUUGACAAACACACUUUGGUGCUUACAAUUCAUUCUCUAUUAUCAUAGAUUUGGUGGGCACUGUCAUCUGUGAUCUUUGUGAUAUGACUUUCUUUAAGCACGUACUGAGGAAACUGUCACUUAAUUUUUUUUUCUUAAAGUCUACAAGCGCUCUACAUUUAUUCACUCUGUGAUAGGGUUUUAUCCUAUAUGCUACUUUUAUUAUUGUCCUGUAAAUGGUUCAGUGCCUAUAAUCUAGGCUGUGUGUGUAGAAUGGGGCAUAAAGGAAAUUACCUCUACUACUAAAUUACUACUAGAUUAUAGUGAUAAGGAAAACAGCAUACAAAUUUGGCUUGUGUAUUCAUUUACCUAUAACUAAUCAGAAUUCCAUUAUGUUUACAUAAAAAAGAGACUACUUCAAAAUGAGAAGAUCCUGCCAUGGAAAAGACAACUGGGUGGACAUAAAGUGGAAAGGAGGGGAAAUAACUCACACCAUGCAGCAGGACACCUUCAGCUGCGGGGUCUUUGUAAUGCAGAUGGCCAAGGAAGUUGCACAGAACUUCCCCAACAUCCCCUCCCAAAUUGAUAUGGAACAUUCAAAAACACAUGGAGCAACUGCGAAAAUAAAUGGCUGCGGAUAUACUAAAAAUGUCUGAGUUCAACAAAGCCAACAACUGCUUCAUGUGUGCCACUGAUAAAGAACCUGGAUGUGGCCCAAAGACUGACUGGAUUGAAUGUUUGCAUGCCAACGGUGGUUCCAUGUGCUGUAACUAGGAAUGAAGACAAAAUAGUUGAACAGAGUAAAGAACACAAACUGGAAGUGCAGUCUUUGUUGUUGAAAAUGUAUGCUAUACCCCAUCCACACUGAAGAGGCUCUGAAAUGUACAUCAACCAGGGAUAAAGAGAAAGUUAACACUGUGAAAUGUUUCAUACUUAUUUGAAGUUAAGUGUCAAUUUCUGUUUAAUUUGUCAAUAUUCAAUUUUUAUUCAUUGAUAUAGUGGCCACCAUUACUGUGGUUACAUGUUCAGUAUAUGUAUUGACCAGCAAACCCACUGCAGCCUACCUCACUAGC